rnacentral:lncRNA from 1 species
GGAGAGUCUACUUGUAGGAUGACAAGUUGUCGCAUCUCGAGCAUGUCUCAUAGGAGAGUGGAAUGAAGUCCAUUGUAGUGAGAGUAGCAGAUGUGCCAUUGUUCUGUUGUGUAAUUCUGUUUGUUUUUGCUAUAUUCAUGUGUAAGGAAAUGUAUUUAGGAGAUGACUUAUUGUGUUAUGUAAACCUGGAAGAUGUAUUAUGUAAUGUUAUAUGAUGGAUGAUUUUAAUUCGACUUGGAGUUUUC